rnacentral:rRNA from 1 species
GAAACAUCUUCGGGUUGUGAGGUUAAGCGACUAAGCGUACACGGUGGAUGCCCUGGCAGUCAGAGGCGAUGAAGGACGUGCUAAUCUGCGAUAAGCGUCGGUAAGGUGAUAUGAACCGUUAUAACCGGCGAUUUCCGAAUGGGGAAACCCAGUGUGAUUCGUCACACUAUCAUUAACUGAAUCCAUAGGUUAAUGAGGCGAACCGGGGGAACUGAAACAUCUAAGUACCCCGAGGAAAAGAAAUCAACCGAGAUUCCCCCAGUAGCGGCGAGCGAACGGGGAGCAGCCCAGAGCCUGAAUCAGUGUGUGUGUUAGUGGAAGCGUCUGGAAAGGCGCGCGAUACAGGGUGACAGCCCCGUACACAAAAAUGCACAUACUGUGAGCUCGAUGAGUAGGGCGGGACACGUGGUAUCCUGUCUGAAUAUGGGGGGACCAUCCUCCAAGGCUAAAUACUCCUGACUGACCGAUAGUGAACCAGUACCGUGAGGGAAAGGCGAAAAGAACCCCGGCGAGGGGAGUGAAAAAGAACCUGAAACCGUGUACGUACAAGCAGUGGGAGCCUCUUUAUGGGGUGACUGCGUACCUUUUGUAUAAUGGGUCAGCGACUUAUAUUCUGUAGCAAGGUUAACCGAAUAGGGGAGCCGAAGGGAAACCGAGUCUUAACUGGGCGUUAAGUUGCAGGGUAUAGACCCGAAACCCGGUGAUCUAGCCAUGGGCAGGUUGAAGGUUGGGUAACACUAACUGGAGGACCGAACCGACUAAUGUUGAAAAAUUAGCGGAUGACUUGUGGCUGGGGGUGAAAGGCCAAUCAAACCGGGAGAUAGCUGGUUCUCCCCGAAAGCUAUUUAGGUAGCGCCUCGUGAAUUCAUCUCCGGGGGUAGAGCACUGUUUCGGCAAGGGGGUCAUCCCGACUUACCAACCCGAUGCAAACUGCGAAUACCGGAGAAUGUUAUCACGGGAGACACACGGCGGGUGCUAACGUCCGUCGUGAAGAGGGAAACAACCCAGACCGCCAGCUAAGGUCCCAAAGUCAUGGUUAAGUGGGAAACGAUGUGGGAAGGCCCAGACAGCCAGGAUGUUGGCUUAGAAGCAGCCAUCAUUUAAAGAAAGCGUAAUAGCUCACUGGUCGAGUCGGCCUGCGCGGAAGAUGUAACGGGGCUAAACCAUGCACCGAAGCUGCGGCAGCGACACUAUGUGUUGUUGGGUAGGGGAGCGUUCUGUAAGCCUGUGAAGGUGUGCUGUGAGGUAUGCUGGAGGUAUCAGAAGUGCGAAUGCUGACAUAAGUAACGAUAAAGCGGGUGAAAAGCCCGCUCGCCGGAAGACCAAGGGUUCCUGUCCAACGUUAAUCGGGGCAGGGUGAGUCGACCCCUAAGGCGAGGCCGAAAGGCGUAGUCGAUGGGAAACAGGUUAAUAUUCCUGUACUUGGUGUUACUGCGAAGGGGGGACGGAGAAGGCUAUGUUGGCCGGGCGACGGUUGUCCCGGUUUAAGCGUGUAGGCUGGUUUUCCAGGCAAAUCCGGAAAAUCAAGGCUGAGGCGUGAUGACGAGGCACUACGGUGCUGAAGCAACAAAUGCCCUGCUUCCAGGAAAAGCCUCUAAGCAUCAGGUAACAUCAAAUCGUACCCCAAACCGACACAGGUGGUCAGGUAGAGAAUACCAAGGCGCUUGAGAGAACUCGGGUGAAGGAACUAGGCAAAAUGGUGCCGUAACUUCGGGAGAAGGCACGCUGAUAUGUAGGUGAAGUCCCUUGCGGAUGGAGCUGAAAUCAGUCGAAGAUACCAGCUGGCUGCAACUGUUUAUUAAAAACACAGCACUGUGCAAACACGAAAGUGGACGUAUACGGUGUGACGCCUGCCCGGUGCCGGAAGGUUAAUUGAUGGGGUUAGCGGUAACGCGAAGCUCUUGAUCGAAGCCCCGGUAAACGGCGGCCGUAACUAUAACGGUCCUAAGGUAGCGAAAUUCCUUGUCGGGUAAGUUCCGACCUGCACGAAUGGCGUAAUGAUGGCCAGGCUGUCUCCACCCGAGACUCAGUGAAAUUGAACUCGCUGUGAAGAUGCAGUGUACCCGCGGCAAGACGGAAAGACCCCGUGAACCUUUACUAUAGCUUGACACUGAACAUUGAGCCUUGAUGUGUAGGAUAGGUGGGAGGCUUUGAAGUGUGGACGCCAGUCUGCAUGGAGCCGACCUUGAAAUACCACCCUUUAAUGUUUGAUGUUCUAACGUUGGCCCCUAAUCGGGGUUGCGGACAGUGUCUGGUGGGUAGUUUGACUGGGGCGGUCUCCUCCUAAAGAGUAACGGAGGAGCACGAAGGUUGGCUAAUCCUGGUCGGACAUCAGGAGGUUAGUGCAAUGGCAUAAGCCAGCUUGACUGCGAGCGUGACGGCGCGAGCAGGUGCGAAAGCAGGUCAUAGUGAUCCGGUGGUUCUGAAUGGAAGGGCCAUCGCUCAACGGAUAAAAGGUACUCCGGGGAUAACAGGCUGAUACCGCCCAAGAGUUCAUAUCGACGGCGGUGUUUGGCACCUCGAUGUCGGCUCAUCACAUCCUGGGGCUGAAGUAGGUCCCAAGGGUAUGGCUGUUCGCCAUUUAAAGUGGUACGCGAGCUGGGUUUAGAACGUCGUGAGACAGUUCGGUCCCUAUCUGCCGUGGGCGCUGGAGAACUGAGGGGGGCUGCUCCUAGUACGAGAGGACCGGAGUGGACGCAUCACUGGUGUUCGGGUUGUCAUGCCAAUGGCACUGCCCGGUAGCUAAAUGCGGAAGAGAUAAGUGCUGAAAGCAUCUAAGCACGAAACUUGCCCCGAGAUGAGUUCUCCCUGACCCUUUAAGGGUCCUGAAGGAACGUUGAAGACGACGACGUUGAUAGGCCGGGUGUGUAAGCGCAGCGAUGCGUUGAGCUAACCGGUACUAAUGAACCGUGAGGCUUAACCUU